rnacentral:rRNA from 1 species
UACAGAGGUCUCAAGCGUUGUUCGGAAUUACUGGGCGUAAAGCGUGCGCAGGCGGUUAUGCAAGACAGAUGUGAAAUCCCCGGGCUCAACCUGGGAACUGCAUUGGUGACUGGCAGGCUAGAGUAUGGCAGAGGGGGGUAGAAUUCCACGUGUAGCAGUGAAAUGCGUAGAGAUGUGGAGGAAUACCGAUGGCGAAGGCAGCCCCCUGGGCCAAUACUGACGCUCAUGCACGAAAGCGUGGGGAGCAAACAGG